CCGGGCUCCAGCCGUGAGCCCUUGACUUAUGUGCGAGGACCAGAACAAGGGGAGGAAGACUUCUCUGUGGUCCCCUCCUGAUCCAGGAUCUUCAGAUCAACAACAGGAGGUUGAAUGUGUUGGUGAUGGAUAAAUUUGGAUUAGUCAUGGUUCGCUGAGCCAUGAAGAGCUCCAUCCAGACUUAAUAAGUACACAAUCCCAGCCCUCCUCUGGAGUCACAGAUCAGGAAACCAGUCCAGAGAGGGAAGCACCUCGCCUGGAAUCACACAGUCGACACACUCAGGUCAUCCAACGCCGUGAAUUGCUCUUUUGCCUGUUCUACCUGAAGCCCUAGAAUCCUGAUCUUUCAAAACUGGCUGAGGAUGCUGAUUGCCUCAGCUUUGGGCUUAUUCAGGUGCAGCUCUGAAGUCUUCGGUGGAUUCUGCAUUCCCUGGAAGUCAGACCUCUGUUUACCCUGUAAGACUGGUGACAGCUCACAGAGGGACAAGUGUUCUGAGUCGUCCCAUCACAUCUCUGGUUCUGCUGGUCAGGGGUACUAAGGUGGCCUGCCACACUCCCGGGGGUGGGGGUGAGGGAUCUUACUAAAUCAGGCACAAAUUUUCAAAGGCAUCCUGGGUAGCUUUAGAGUUCAUGAAUAGGCUCAGAAACCUCACAACUCCCGGACACACAUAUGUUUGAAAAGUGUCAGGAGAGGGGAUGAAUAAGAAUUUGCAGAGCUUUUCUAAUACGGGGGAAAGACUGUGUUCCAUAAUCCUAGCUGGAACCUAAGGAGUUGGUAACAAUGACAGCCAACAUUACUGUUUAUUAUGAGCUAACUACUCCUAUUAUCCCUGCUUUAUAGGAUGAGGAAACUGGGUCACAUAGAUGUUAAAUGAUUUGCCCAGGAUUAUACGACUGAAAAAUGGCUGAGCAUCUAUGUGUGAGUGGAUGCAGGAGCUGGGAUACUUGACCUUCAGGCUGCGUUCCUCUGCAGACAUGAUGGUAGUUGACAGGUCGACAGUGAGCAUGCAGAAAAGAGACCUGGACAAGCCCCACCUGUGCAGCCUGAGAAGCGCAAGAUGGAAUCAAGUUUAAAAGAGAAAGAAAAGCCCACCUAGGAUCUAAACGGAGAGAAAGUACAAUAGAAAAGCAAUUUGAAAAGUCGGGGUGAGAGAGGGACCCUCAGGAAUGACAGAAGAAAAGAAAACCACAGACGUGUCCGUUGCGGUCCAAACCCACCUCAUCAAAUAGCCCUGGAAUCAGCUUUUAUCAUUACAAGUUAGAGCUGGCUGCAGCCACUGUUUGCGUAGUGUGUGGAUUGAAACUUUAUUGCUUUAUGGAUGCAAUAAAACUCCAGUGAUUAAAGGCAGCAAUGACACUUGUGUCCUGGUGAAGGAGGCCAGAACGCUGGAGCCAAGGCUUUAUCUGAAGCAAAGAUUUGUACUCCGGGAAAAGGAAUCUGUUUCCAUACUUGUGCUGGGAAGACAGCACAGAAAUGGAUGGAGGAUAAGGAUGUUUAAAGGGUCAAGAAAUGAUGAAGGCCAACUUUCUGCCUUGACACCACUGAUGUGCAUAAUACAACGAUCCUAGCUUUCGAUGGGCACCUGCUAUCCUAAGGGGCCAUGGGGGAAUUGUUGAGUGAUGGACUUAAAUGAGAAAAAUAGUAGGUAAUCGAUUGGCACUUCUCUGACCCUUCAAAGUGUGGGAUUGUUCAACAUUGUCGGAGCAUUCUCUUUACUUCUACUAAAAAUUAAGCAAUAGGCUGAAAUCCCUGAAGGGGUUUUAUUUAGAAAUUUGUCAAGAUUUCCCAACUCUUAUGUGAAGGCAAUGCCCUGCCAAGGAGGUUUUGCUGCUCUCUUUGCUUCAAAAUAUUGGUGUUUUUUUUUUUUUAAUGUAGAUCUGUAACAUCUUUUCAGACAUAGCCUAUGGAAAGACUAAAGAUCAGGAUGAAUUAAGAAAACAUUUUCUUUCUUGUUCCUUAGACCAUCUACUUUCUGUACUUUUUGACAUCUACAGUGUAUCAGAACACAAUGCAAAACGCAUGGGAGAGCUGUAUAAAGUACAGGGAGCAGAAGAAUAGCUAGAAAGACAGCUUUUGCAUUUCUCCUUGCCUUCCUUUCUUGGAGACCAUGGAAAGAUCAUUCCACAUCCCUUUUAAGACUGUGGGCCAAGAUUAUGGCAGCUUUGAAACACUUUAUUUUGAACUUCAGCUAUCUGUCCUUGGAUCCCCUCUUCAUUUAGUCCUGAAGAUUUCAUGGCUACUAUAGGCAACUUCAGAACUUUUCAGCACAGCUCAUUAUAGACCCCUAGGUGCACUAAGGUAAGCUGGUGUAAAACACAGAUCCUGUAGUUACCCCAAGGGAUCAAAGAUUUAGACCAGAUCUCAGAUGAACAGGGACCACAAGGUUACAACCACAUCUCAAAGCUUCCAUCUCAACGGGGCUUUGGGUCCUGUGUCUUUCACCUGCUGCUAUACAGCAUUAUUGGGUUUAUCAUCUGACCAAAAUGUAGGCAGAUAUUGAAAAUUAAUGUGAGUACUUCAUCACCAUUAAUCUAACAUCUGCAGAGCUGUGAGAUGGAAAGGAAAAAAUGUGCACUCCAGAAGACAAAGUCUCAUUCUGCCCCCUCUCAGGUGUGUCAUCCUAAGCAGGUUAUUCCAAGGAAGAGACUCAUAUGCCAUGAGGAAGCAUGAGAUAAGUCCAGUAAUGCACCUUUGUGGGUAUGCUCAUCUACUUUUAAGUAUUAUUAAAAUCACUGUGUACCACAAGCCUUACAUGCUCCAGUAGUACAGGCAAAUAAGCUUCUAAGGAACAUGUUUUUCUAAGCUGAUUUCUAUUCUCUCCCUUCACCGUCCAACUCUCUACUCUUUUCCAUCCUGUGCUCAUUAUUGUCAAUUAGACACAGUUUUCACCAACAUUUUUUAGCCAGCAGUUCCUCCCUUGAAUACUUUAUCCCUGCAAGGUUCCCAAACAACUCUAAGCUAGACCUUCAGUACAGACAAUUGUCCUAAGAGACAGUAAAUACCAGCCUACCUGUUGAUAUCCCCAAGGAUGCUGGGGGAGGGGAAGACAAUGGAAGACAUUAAAUUGAGAGUGAGCAGACCUGGGGGUCAUGGUCUGUAAUCUACCACUUAUUAGUUAUGUGACUUUAUUUCUGUUCAUCUCUACUUUAUUCACUAGAAGAUCAGACUAACAAUGCAUGUGUCACUCAGCUCA